AUACGGAGGGGGUUAGCGUUGUUCGGAAUUACUGGGCGUAAAGCGUACGUAGGCGGAUUAGUAAGUUAGGGGUGAAAUCCCAGGGCUCAACCCUGGAACUGCCUUUAAAACUAGUAGUCUAGAGUUCGAGAGAGGUGAGUGGAAUUCCAAGUGUAGAGGUGAAAUUCGUAGAUAUUUGGAGGAACACCAGUGGCGAAGGCGGCUCACUGGCUCGAUACUGACGCUGAGGUGCGAAAGCGUGGGGAGCAAACAGGAUUAGAUACCCCGGUAGUCC
rnacentral:rRNA from 1 species